rnacentral:sRNA from 1 species
AGGAGCUGGCGGUGAGGGGCUAGGACAGGGGUUGCACGGCAUGGGGCUCCGCGCCCGCCCCGCCUCCAGGCCCCAAGCCCGGCCGCGCCAGGCCGUUUGUUACUCCGGGGGCGAGGCGCGGCGGGCCGGGUGCUCGGCGGCCUGAGGCCGGGAAACAUUGGCAAACUUGGAGCGACAGAUCUAUGCUUUUGAGGGAAGCUACCUGGAAGACACUCAGAUGUAUGGCAAUAUUAUUCGUGGCUGGGAUCGGUAUCUGACCAACCAAAAAAACUCCAAUAGCAAAAAUGAUCGAAGGAACCGGAAGUUUAAGGAAGCUGAGCGGCUCUUCAGUAAAUCCUCAGUUACUUCAGCAGCUGCAGUAAGUGCAUUGGCAGGAGUUCAGGACCAGCUCAUUGAAAAGAGGGAGCCAGGAAGUGGGACGGAAAGUGACACUUCUCCAGACUUCCACAAUCAGGAAAAUGAGCCCAGCCAGGAGGACCCUGAGGAUCUGGAUGGAUCUGUGCAGGGAGUGAAACCUCAGAAAGCUGCUUCCUCUACUUCCUCAGGGAGUCACCACAGCAGCCAUAAAAAGCGAAAGAAUAAAAACCGGCACAGCCCGUCUGGCAUGUUUGAUUAUGACUUUGAGAUUGAUCUGAAGUUAAACAAAAAACCACGAGCUGACUAUUAGAAGACACGUUAGUGCAGAAGCUUCCAGGCUGUAGAGCCCUGCUUCCCUUCUCUGACCUCACAAAGAUAAACAUCCUUCACCUGAGUUCGUGGCCAUCCACCUCUGCUCUCCCAGACCCAGUGCCUGUGACUUUGAGUAGUUUGUUCUAAAUGUGGUGACAAACAA